rnacentral:rRNA from 1 species
AAAAUAACAAUGAUUUCCUUAGUAACGGCGAGUGAAGAGGAAAAAGCUCAAAGUUGUAACCUAUUUGGCUUAGCCAAAUCGGAUUGUAGACUGGAGAAGUGUUUUAUGGCACGCCGAGUGAAAAAGUCCCUUGGAACAGGGCAUCAUAGAGGGUGAGAAUCCCGUGAAUUCACUUGAGUAUAUGUUGUCAACUUUAAUACACUUUCAAAGAGUCAGGUUGUUUGGGAAUGCAGCCUAAAUUGGGUGGUAAAUCUCACCUAAAGCUAAAUAUUGGCGAGAGACCGAUAGCGAACAAGUACCGUGAGGGAAAGAUGAAAAGAACUUUGAAAAGAGAGUUAAACAGUACGUGAAAUUGUUAAAAGGGAACCGUUUGGAGCCAGACCGGCUUUAUCGUAAUCAAUCUAGGUUUCGACCUGGAUGCACUUGCGGUAGAUUUGCCUGCCAACGACAGUUUUUUUUGAGGGAAAAAACUAGGAGGAAUGUGGCCCUUAACUUGUUAGGGGUGUUAUAGCCUUUUAGAAAAUACCUUGAAUUGGACUGAGGAACGCAGCGAAUGCUCUUUAGGGCGAAAUAGUUGAGUGCUUUGGCUGAUAGAUGCUAGAAUUUCUGCUUCGGGUGGUGCUAGUGUUUAAAGGUUAAACUCGCUUGAUUCAUUUUUUAUUCGCUUAGGUUGUUGGCUUAAUGACUCU